CCUGGAUGCCGCGCCCUCUGCCGUACACCCGGCCUAAGGCAUGAAAGACGCCACAACCUUAGAAGAAGUGCUAUGGGGAGCAAGAGAUAAGUCUGCUUUCUGACUUUGGACUUUGUUACAGGCAGGCUCUACAUACUUCUGCAGAAAAAGGUUUCUGCUUUUUUGUGGAAGCUGGGGCUGAAUGGAGACAUUUACUGCAGUUUCUCUUUGGAUUUUUUUUGCAUUAAAUCUGGUCCUUUUUAAAAAGGUUUUUACUGAAUAUAUUUGUGUGAGAAGUCCACCCUUUAUAAUAUAAGAAGAGGUUACUCAGUGUGUUCCAGCUUUCAUAUCCUUUUCAAGGUGUAAGUGUAACAACUCAAAGUCUGAAGGUGUCAAAAACUUAUCACUUCAUUGUCUUUGUUACCUGGGGGACUCAGAUGAUUCAGGGAUUCACAAUUCAUCCCCCAGCUAUACUUAUAUCAUUGAAUUUUUGAGCUUUAUUUGAUCAAUUCCAUUCAUCAUUGUGUCUACUAUUAUCAUUGUGUUCACUAGUAUUGAACCUCAAUAAACUACAGAGUCUGUUCUAAGAAAGUGACAAAUGAAAUUAGGGUGCGUGUAUCCAUGAUUUAAUUUCUCUCAAGCUGGCUUGACAUUCACUGAAUGGGAGUUCAGUCC